GUGGAAGCCUGAUCCAGCCAUCCCGCGUGAAGGAUGACGGUCCUAUGGAUUGUAAACUUCUUUUGUACAGGGAUAAACCUGCCCUCGUGAGGGCAGCUGAAGGUACUGUACGAAUAAGCACCGGCUAACUCCGUGCCAGCAGCCGCGGUAAUACGGAGGGUGCAAGCGUUACUCGGAAUCACUGGGCGUAAAGAGCACGUAGGCGGCCUUGCAAGUCAGAUGUGAAAUCCAACGGCUUAACCGUUGAACUGCAUUUGAAACUGCAAGGCUAGAGUAUGGGAGAGGUAGGUGGAAUUCUCGGUGUAGGGGUAAAAUCCGUAGAGAUCGAGAGGAAUACUCAUUGCGAAGGCGACCUGCUGGAACAUUACUGACGCUGAGGUGCGAAAGCGUGGGGAGCAAACA
rnacentral:rRNA from 1 species